GGAGGCAUGGCUCAUUGGUACAGCAUCUGCUUUGCAUGCAGAAGAUCCCAGUUCAAUCCCUGGCAUCUCCA
rnacentral:tRNA from 1 species